GUUUAAGUAGUUUAAUAUAAAAUAUUGAUUUGUGGUGUCAAUGAUGAAAAUUAUUUUCUUUAAACC
rnacentral:tRNA from 1 species